rnacentral:rRNA from 1 species
UACGUAGGGGGCAAGCGUUGUCCGGAAUCAUUGGGCGUAAAGAGCGCGUAGGCGGCCCGAUAAGUCCGCUGUGAAAGUCCAGGGCUCAACCCUGGAAUGGCGGUGGAUACUGUCGGGCUCGAAUCCGGAAGAGGUGAGUGGAAUUCCUGGUGUAGCGGUGAAAUGCGCAGAUAUCAGGAGGAACACCAAUGGCGAAGGCAGCUCACUGGGACGGUAUUGACGCUGAGACGCGAAAGCGUGGGGAGCAAACAGG